UGCGGUCGAACUCCGGUUGAUCCUGCCGGACCCGACUGCUAUCGGGGUGGGGCUAAGCCAUGCAAGUCGUGGGCCCCAGGCUAUGGUGGGGCCCGGCGUACGGCUCAGUAGCACGUGGCUAACCUACCCUCGGGAGGGGGACAACCCCUUGGGAAACUGGGGCUAAUACCCCAUAGGGGAGAGCCCCUGGAAUGGGCUCUUCCCGAAAGGGAUGUAGCGCCAUGCCCGCUGCAUCCGCCCGAGGAUGGGGCUGCGGCCCAUCAGGUAGUUGGCGGGGUAACGGCCCGCCAAGCCUAUAACGGGUGGGGGCCGUGAGAGCGGGAGCCCCGAGAUGGGCACUGAGACAAGGGCCCAGGCCCUACGGGGCGCAGCAGGCGCGAAACCUCCGCAAUGCGGGAAACCGUGACGGGGUCACCCCGAGUGCCACCCGCUGAGGGUGGCUUUUCCCCGGUGUAAAAAGCCGGGGGAAUAAGCGGGGGGCAAGUCUGGUGUCAGCCGCCGCGGUAAUACCAGCCCCGCGAGACCGGGGGUCCUGGUGAUAAAAAUGAACACAAGACCGAUGAAAAUUCUAGAAGCAAGAAUCCCCCCACUUAAGUGGGGAGAGUGUCAAGCCGAAAAGGUAAGUGUAAAUGGUUUGUAAUCGAGAUAUAUGGGUCAAAUGUUUGGAACUAAUUCCUCAUCUCGAUCUCAGGCAUCCUAAGUGGAAGAAAAUGUAUUCCCACUUAUUUGGUCUCUAACUCAUUCAUACAGGACCCCCGGCGCGAGUGGUCGGGACGUUUACUGGGCCUAAAGCGUCCGUAGCCGGCCUGGCAAGUCCUCCCUGAAAUCCACGGGCUCAACCCGUGGGCUGGGGAGGAUACUGCCAGGCUAGGAGGUGGGAGAGGCCGAGGGUACUUCCGGGGUAGGGGCGAAAUCCGUUAAUCCCGGAAGGACCACCAGUGGCGAAGGCGCUCGGCUGGAACACGCUCGACGGUGAGGGACGAAAGCUGGGGGAGCAAAGGGGAUUAGAUACCCCCGUAGUCCCAGCUGUAAACGAUGCGGGCUAGGUGUUGGGUGGGCUUUGAGCUCACCCAGUGCCGCAGGGAAGCCGUUAAGCCCGCCGCCUGGGGAGUACGGCCGCAAGGCUGAAACUUAAAGGAAUUGGCGGGGGAGCACCACAAGGGGUGAAGCUUGCGGUUCAAUUGGAGUCAACG
rnacentral:rRNA from 1 species